UAUAAGAGAUUUUGAGUUUUUGCUUGCAACAUUUGACCAUUUGUCUUAUUCAAAUUUUUUUGAAAUUAUUAUUUAUUUUAUUUGUGACUUACUUUAUUAUCUACAUCUACAGUACUUUAAGCACAACUUUUCGUUUUAUAAUAUUUGCAAAAAAAAUUUGAAUAAGACGAGUGGUCAAACGUUGCAAGCAAAAACUGAAAAUCCCUUAUA
rnacentral:pre_miRNA from 1 species